UUUUUUCAAAACAACUACCACACGCGUUCUUUUCAGUGACUUUAUAGAGACUGAACUAUUUCUAUCAUUUUUCCAAAAGUUGUAUACGUCUGUCAGAAUGGCCGAGCGGUCUAAGGCGCCAGACUCAAGGAUGGCCGAGCGGUCUAAGGCGCCAGACUCAAGGUUCACUACCUUCCAGUUGAUGAAGGACUCAAACAGCAGAAAUCUCAAGAGCUCUUGGCUUGUACUGUUGGUGCAGGAUGGUUUUCAAUCAGGGAAAAAAAGAGCUGCCAGAAUGGGGUGGAGUUAAACCCUGCCUCCAUACAGAGACCAGAAUCCUCAGCAAUCAGGAAGGGAUUGAACCUUGAACCUUGGGACCUCAGCCAUGACACAAAGGCCUGUGUAUUCAAGCUCAAUAAAAGGAAAAAAAAACAUAACAGUCAGUCCAUGAGGUUCCAGACUUCCAAGAGUGCGGAUAAGCCUUUUCUCUCUACAUUUCAUCAGUUCAUUGUUCCCAUAACAACAACUACCAGUGCAAACUGAGAUUUCAUUAAUGCUAUGUCCAUCAUUGUUGAAGUGUCUCGUCAUGGGGGAAAGAGGAAACCCUUCAUUCUCAUAAUACAAAGGUGCUCAAGAAAAUGAUCAGCCAGUCUCCUUUUAAUUUCUUUCAAAGCACUUCUUCAGUCAAUUUCACAUGUUCUCCCCGGACCAUGUGGGUUUCCUCCUA